GGGAAAAGCCGACAGGUGCGGAGGAGCACGUGGUUCGGCAGGGGCAUCCCUUAGGGGAGGCUCUGUUAAUGGAGAUUCUCUAUGUCCUAGUAAGGAGGAGAGGAUGGAAGAUGAUAAAAUACAGGGCCUGAUCCUACAAGUGCUUUCAGCUCUUCACUGAAGCAAGCAGGAGUUGAGAACACCUAGCAGCUUCCAGAUUGUCUCUGGGCUGGUGUGGUGAUGUUCCACUGGGACUAGUCUGCAUGGAAAGUAAAGCAAGCAGGAGGGAAAGGAAAAUACAGUGAUUCUUACAGGGGACUUGUUGUGUGCAAGGUGGGGAGGAGUGCAACAGGGUGCCUGUCAUGUCCACACCUUGGUCUUUGCAAGGCAGCAGAUGUGGACUAAUAAUCUGAGCAGUUUAUCAGCCCCCCUCUCUGCCCUUCACUGUGGCGGAGGGGAAGGAAUUACUAGGACUUGCAGGGAGCAUGGACGUGGCCACAAAGAGAGGCAGACAUGGCUCUCAUGUCAGUUUCCCUUGUGAAGCCAGCCCCGUUCUGCAGCCGCUGAAGAGACCACACUGCAGCCCAGAUUGCAGUGAGAGCUGAAUGAAUAAACUGGCAGCGCUGACAGCGCUCUAUGGUCUGUAACAAUUAAAGAAGGAAUUUGUUUGA